rnacentral:rRNA from 1 species
UACGGGGGGGGGCAAGCGUUGUUCGGAAUUACUGGGCGUAAAGGGCUCGUAGGCGGCCAACUAAGUCAGACGUGAAAUCCCUCGGCUUAACCGGGGAACUGCAUCUGAUACUGGAUGGCUUGAGUUCGGGAGAGGGAUGCGGAAUUCCAGGUGUAGCGGUGAAAUGCGUAGAUAUCUGGAGGAACACCGGUGGCGAAGGCGGCAUCCUGGACCGACACUGACGCUGAGGCGCGAAAGCGUGGGUAGCAAACAGG